rnacentral:rRNA from 1 species
UACGAAGGGGGCUAGCGUUGCUCGGAAUCACUGGGCGUAAAGGGUGCGUAGGCGGGUCUUUAAGUCAGGGGUGAAAUCCUGGAGCUCAACUCCAGAACUGCCUUGAUACUGAAGAUCUUGAGUUCGGGAGAGGUGAGUGGAACUGCGAGUGUAGAGGUGAAAAUUCGUAGAUAUUCGCAAGAACACCAGUGGCGAAGGCGGCUCACUGGCCCGAUACUGACGCUGAGGCACGAAAGCGUGG